GGCAGUUCAGCUGAGUGCCAAGUCCAAAGACACCAAAACAGUUCACAGAGCCUGUCAAUGUUACAAUGUGUGGAAGAAGAGUCUUUGCAGACGUGCUUAAGUUCAGGGCCUGGAAAUGGGCAGGUUAUCUGGUGUAUCAAGAGACAAGGAAGCCAGCCAUGCCACCUGCCCCGGAAGUAAUACUUCUGGAAUUCACAGUCUUAAUUAUUUGUCGAUGAAGCUGAGAAUCAUAGAGAUCCAACAGCCUGCUCAGGACAGGCCACGGCAGCGAAGGUGAAGCUGGGAUUCCUAUUCUUUCUGCUGUCCUUAGCAGUUUCAUCCUGACAUUUUAAUGUUGAAAGUCAACU